rnacentral:rRNA from 1 species
UUGGGUUAAGUCCCGCAACGAGCGCAACCCUUGAUCUUAGUUGCCAUCAUUAAGUUGGGCACUCUAAGGUGACUGCCGGUGACAAACCGGAGGAAGGUGGGGAUGACGUCAAAUCAUCAUGCCCCUUAUGACCUGGGCUACACACGUGCUACAAUGGACGGUACAAAGAGCUGCAAGACC